rnacentral:rRNA from 2 species
GGCGGACGGGUGAGUAACACGUGGGUAACCUACCUAUAAGACUGGGAUAACUCCGGGAAACCGGGGCUAAUACCGGAUAAUAUUUUGAACCGCAUGGUUCAAUAGUGAAAGACGGUUUCGGCUGUCACUUAUAGAUGGACCCGCGCCGUAUUAGCUAGUUGGUAAGGUAACGGCUUACCAAGGCGACGAUACGUAGCCGACCUGAGAGGGUGAUCGGCCACACUGGAACUGAGACACGGUCCAGACUCCUACGGGAGGCAGCAGUAGGGAAUCUUCCGCAAUGGGCGAAAGCCUGACGGAGCAACGCCGCGUGAGUGAUGAAGGUCUUCGGAUCGUAAAACUCUGUUGUUAGGGAAGAACAAAUUUGUUAGUAACUGAACAAGUCUUGACGGUACCUAACCAGAAAGCCACGGCUAACUACGUGCCAGCAGCCGCGGUAAUACGUAGGUGGCAAGCGUUAUCCGGAAUUAUUGGGCGUAAAGCGCGCGUAGGCGGUUUCUUAAGUCUGAUGUGAAAGCCCACGGCUCAACCGU